rnacentral:tRNA from 1 species
GCGUAGCUCAGCCGGUAGAGCAACUGACUUUUAAUCAGUAGGUCCGGGGUUCGAACCCCCG